rnacentral:rRNA from 1 species
UACGGGGGGAGCAAGCGUUGUUCGGAUUUACUGGGCGUAAAGGGCGCGUAGGCGGUCAGCACAAGUCAGUUGUGAAAUCUCCGGGCUUAACUCGGAAAGGUCAACUGAUACUGUGCGACUAGAGUGCGGAAGGGGCAACUGGAAUUCCCGGUGUAGUGGUGAAAUGCGUAGAGAUCGGGAGGAACACCUGUGGCGAAGGCGGCGUCCUGGACCAACACUGACACUGAGGAGCGAAAGCCAGGGGAGCAAACGGG